CGCCUAGGGUAUUUUCUCUUAGGUCGCGCCUGCCCAAUGAGUGUUUAAAUGGCCGCAGUAUACUGACUGUGCUAAGGUAGCAUAAUAAUUUGUCUUUUAAUUGAAGGCUAGUAUGAAAGGAAUGACGAGGAGAGAUUUCUGUCUCUCUUUUUUAAUAAAAAUUAAAUUGACAUAAAAGUUAAAAGGCUUUUAGAGAUUAGAAGGACGACAAGACCCUAUAAAGCUUUACCUUAUGAAUAAAAAAAUGAAUAUUUAGAUUAAGUCUUAUUUUUAGUUGGUUUUACUGGGGCGGUAAAAUUUUAAAUUUAACAAUAUUAAUAAAAACACCUUUAAUGAAAUUUAUAAUCCUACAUAAAGAAUUAAGAACAAGUUACUUUAGGGAUAACAGUGUAAUAUUUUUAAAGAGCCCUAAUCGCCAAAAAUGAUUACCACCUCGAUGUUGAAUUGAGAUUCCUCCAUAGACGAAGUUUCUAUGAAAGAAAGUCUGUUCGACUUUUAAAUUU
rnacentral:rRNA from 1 species